ensembl:snoRNA
UGGUCACUACCAAGGCUUUCAGAAUGCAGUUUUUCAGUUGCUAAGAACAUGACCAUAAAAAACUUCCCACUAGGUUUUCUACCUGCUACUUUGCUAGCCCCCAGCCUGUUGUGGGCAUUU